AGAGUUUGAUCAUGGCUCAGAACGUACGCUGGCGGCACGCCUAACACAUGCAAGUCGAACGAAGUAGCAAUACUUAGUGGCAGACGGGUGAGUAACAUGUAGGUAUCUGCCCUUUGGCCUGGAAUAACACGAGGAAACUUGUGCUAAUACCGGAUAAGUCUUUACGGAGAAAGCUUUAUGCACCAUUGGAUGAGCCUGCACUUGAUUAGUUUGUUGGUGGGGUAAUGGCCUACCAAGACUGUGAUCAAUAGCUGAUUUGAGAGGAUGAUCAGCCACAUUGGGACUGAGACACGGCCCAAACUCCUACGGGAGGCAGCAGUGGGGAAUCUUGCACAAUGGAGGAAACUCUGAUGCAGCGAUGCCGCGUGAGUGAAGAAGGCCCUUGGNUUGUAAAGCUCUUUCGUCGGGGAAGAAAAUGACU
rnacentral:rRNA from 1 species